GCUCCGGGGACCUCACCAUAGCAUGAACAGGAACUGGAAUGCCGCCCAGGAGCUUCACGCUGCUUGGCUGACCCAUGGAGCAGAGCGCCGGAUGAGGGCGGGACUCCAAGCCGCUCCUGGGACCUCACCAUGGCGUGGGCAGGAACCGGGACGCCGCCAAGGAGCUUCAUGCCGCUUGGGAACGUAAAGGCCUUUCCUGGCCCUCUCACUGACUCAAACAGGAAGCCAAAACGAGUAUGACGCCAAGUCCCAUGCAAGUAAUCAGGAAUUGCUUAGAGUUUAUAGACUGUCAAGGAUUAUUCAAAGUCAACUCUCUUCAUAAAACAUGAAAAAAUACUGACUCAUCUGAUAAUGUUCUUGGAGAAAUUUAUUGGAUCUUACAUCUCCAUGCAAAAUCUUCCAGAGGAUUCUUUAUUCAGCUGAAAUGCUCUCUUGCAUGAUGUGCAAAUGAAGAUGAAAUAAAGGCUUAGAAUGUGGUCAGGGAGACUGAGAUGGAAUAAGCAGACCAAAAAAUAUUGAAGCAGAAUGUAAUGCAUGAACUGACGUACAUCUGGUGAGUCUGCAUGCCACUGCUCCAUGCUAGAAACCAUUAUAAACCAUUUGAGGUGAUCAAAAAAUUGCUGCCCAGGUGCAAUAGUUUAUAUUUUGAAAAUGAAAUAAAUCUAGUGGAUACUGUGGACGAAGAACUUGCAAAAUCUUAUUAGAAAAAUAAAUCUGUUUUGAGUUAGAGGAGUGAAAAAAUCCUAACAAAUUAUAGGAGUAGAAGUGUUGCAAAACUGAAUACAUUCAUGUUUAUUCAAUAAUCACACACAUGUUCCAUUAAGAAAUGCAGAAAAAAGUGCAAUAAAUAUUGACUUUCACAGCAAAAUGUAGAAGUAUAUGUGCAAAGAAUAAUGAAUCCUUUUCUUGACAGUUUGAGAAAAUAGAAAUGUUGAGCCAUUUACACAGGUUGAAAAAUAAGAAAGCUGUCCUCUUUAUUAUAAGGGAAAAUAUUUU